rnacentral:rRNA from 1 species
UGAGGAACAUGUCUUUCGGCGGGGAAUAGCCGGCCUAACGGCCGGGUAAUACCGCGUACGACGAUUGGGGCGCAUGCCUUGAUCGUGAAAGCAGCAAUGCACCGAUAGAGUGCCUCGCGGCCUAUCAGCUAGUUGGUGAGGUAAUGGCUCACCAAGGCGACGACGGGUAGCUGGUCUGAGAGGAUGAUCAGCCACAUUGGGACUGAGACACCGGCAGA